rnacentral:lncRNA from 1 species
AUGAACUUUGGAGUAACUUCGCCUUUUCAUCUGCAGAGUGCCUGUCACUGUGGGCUGGGUAGUGGCGUUCCUUGCUGCUGGUCGUGCUUUCCCUCGUCAGAAAUUGAGUACAAGAUGGAGAUGAUCCUCCAAAGAUGCCUUUCACCAAAAAAAAAAAGCGCUCACUUUCUGCAGACAACCUCAUCGUGUUGGACCAGAGAUACUUCUUACCUUGGAAGAAAAGACAGGCUAUGGGCGCAGAUUGGGAAUUGGAAGACUCUCAAGAUAAAACAGAAUUGUCAUGUGGAGCUCCUUGUGAGGAAUCAGGCAAAAAUUCCUUUUCUGUUAGAGGGACCAAAGAGGCACCCUUUUCCCUCAAAGAGGGACCCUUUUUCUGUUCUUGAUUGCAGCAAAAUGACCUUGGAUUAGCCACUUCCUGCCCCCUGAGGUGGCUGCAAAGAUGACUGAGUACUGCAGAACUUCCUAGGUUACCUAAAAUAAAGACUUAAUUUGACUGGGUAACUUCGUGGGU